CACGUAGGGUCCGAGCGUUGUCCGGAAUUACUGGGCGUAAAGAGCUCGUAGGUGGUUUGUCGCGUUGUUCGUGAAAACUCACAGCUCAACUGUGGGCGUGCGGGCGAUACGGGCAGACUGGAGUACUGCAGGGGAGACUGGAAUUCCUGGUGUAGCGGUGGAAUGCGCAGAUAUCAGGAGGAACACCGGUGGCGAAGGCGGGUCUCUGGGCCGAAAUUGACGCUGAGGAGCGAAAGCGUGGGGAGCAAACAGG
rnacentral:rRNA from 1 species